GGGGAAUUUUGGACAAUGGGGGCAACCCUGAUCCAGCCAUGCCGCGUGAGUGAAGAAGGCCUUCGGGUUGUAAAGCUCUUUCGGACGGAAAGAAAUCGCCGCCUCUAACAUAGGCGGUGGAUGACGGUACCGUAAGAAGAAGCACCGGCUAACUACGUGCCAGCAGCCGCGGUAAUACGUAGGGUGCAAGCGUUAAUCGGAAUUACUGGGCGUAAAGCGUGCGCAGGCGGUUUUGUAAGACAGUGGUGAAAUCCCCGGGCUCAACCUGGGAACUGCCAUUGUGACUGCAAGGCUGGAGUGCGGCAGAGGGGGGUAGAAUUCCACGUGUAGCAGUGAAAUGCGUAGAGAUGUGGAGGAAUACCGAUGGCGAAGGCAGCCCCCUGGGUUAGUACUGACGCUCAUGCACGAAAGCGUGGGGAGCAAACA
rnacentral:rRNA from 1 species